rnacentral:lncRNA from 1 species
CUUGGAGGGGUGAGGGGCCCUGUUAGUCUGACUUUGAAGAAGACCAGCCUUCCAGACUCGCUUGGUGCCCUGACAGCAGCUUGUGUUUCUUCCUUCAAGAGUCUGCUUAGAGAUAAUAAAGAUCAACACUAUUCCUUAUAACAACACCUCAGUAUCCUGCGAGCUGUACACACCAGAGUUUAUUUAACCACCUUGCUGCUGGCAUGAAAGCCUCAGGAGCCCUAGGCUCCCCCAGUGUUGCCUGGAUCUGACUUUGCCUCAGUGAAAACCGCCUCGAAUUCUUUCUUGCACCGAUGGGCAGAUGGGCAGUGUCAGAGGAUCGUGUCAUCUGUCCCGUGGUGCUGGUUGGCUUGGUCAAGUCAGUGUUCAAACUAUCUCCUGCUCUUUCAAGGGGAUCUGGGGCUCUAGAAGAUUAGAGGACUUUGAGAGGUUAGUGACUUGCUCAAGGUCGGCUAGGAAGCAAGACCCAGGAUUCCAACUCAGGUCUGUGUGAUUCCUCUGCAAAAUGGAGAGGUGGAAGGAUGGAUGUCAGGUCUGAUGGAUGGAUGGAUGCCUACAUCAAGAUACAUGCAUAGAUGGAGAGAUGGCUGGCUACCUCACGAAUGCUGGACUGUUGUGAGAAUCAAACGAGAUAAUGUAUGCUGAGGCAUGCUGUGAACACUACGUGCUGGGUACAGGAGAAUGGAGGCUCCAGAGUGAAAUUAAUGACACUUUGUCGAUGAAGAUCUUGAUUGUGACCUCUGGAAAAUGAGCCGUGAACCAACCAAUGAUAAGUCUACUUUUCUUCCACAUAACAACCACAGGAUAGAUGACAUUCAUUUUCUAAGAAACAAAAUCUUGGCAGUUAGAUCCGUGGGGUAAAGAAUAUAGAUACUAAUAAUGAAAACCAUGUAGCUGGUCUUAUUCUCUAAUCAUGAAGACCAUUAUUGUUAUUUGUGGACUAAGGAGCAGAAAGACUGAUAGUGGACAUAGGCCAGCUGAUUUAAUAAUUUAAGAAAGAACUGUUAUCCUGAGUAAGGAGCAUAGAGACAAAUAUAAAAUGAACGCACUCUACCUGAUUAUAGUCUUCUGGUGAAGAUCUUGCUGUUAUCUCUGUGAAUCAGGAGAGAAGAGAUUGAUAAGGAAUAGACGAGAUUGGAUUUGGUCAUUUCCCCAAGGUGAAGAGCAUGGCGAUUUCUUCUGUGGUAAGGAGCAAUAGUGAAGACCAUGGUUGAUUUAAUCAGUCUCUGCUGAUGAAGAUCUUGGCUGUUACCUUUGUGUGUAAGGAAGCUAAAGACUUAAGUAAAUAACAGUCCAAAAACUUGUCAAUUAGGAAUGAAUGCGCAGUGAUUCAAUUAUUCUCCAGCGAGGAAGAUCAUG